rnacentral:rRNA from 1 species
CAACUUUCAGCAACGGAUCUCUUGGCUCUCGCAUCGAUGAAGAACGCAGCGAAAUGCGAUAAGUAAUGUGAAUUGCAGAAUUCAGUGAAUCAUCGAAUUUUUGAACGCACCUUGCGCUCCUUGGUAUUCCGAGGAGCAUGCCUGUUUGAGUGUCAUUAAUA